rnacentral:lncRNA from 1 species
CCAAAUAUCUAAAAAAAAUUAAAAAUUACAUUAAAGCAAGUAGUUAAAUGUGCGCAUAACAGAAUUUUGCUAAUCCUGCCAUAAACUACCAUACGUUGUUUCCUCGAAGAAAACGUCACUAUAAAACUGUGAACAAUCGAUGCUACAAUCAAACUCGCCCGUUCCAAUUCUGUCAUCAACGUACCAUCCCAUUGUUUCAUCAACCGCUGGCGAAUUAGGUGCCAUCUCUACCAUGUCAGGCCAAUAAUACUCGAAUCCAUCGACAUUGAGUUCUUCAGUUUGCUCCAAUCUAUCAUGUUUAUCAUCGUCUAAAUCAGCGUUCAAUUCAACUUCUAGAGCACGAACUAUUUGUUUGACCCUAUCUUUUUCCAGCUCCUCCUUCUCCGACUCAUCCUCUAGUAGUUCCCUGAGAAGUGCUGCAUCAGUUUCAGUAACUUCUAGUUCUUCAAUAUCAAUAGCCGGUAACAUUUCGGUUGAAGCUGAGGCCAUUCUUUGAAGCGGAUGAUGAGAAAAAUUGGAUUGGAUAGAAGGAGAUAAAGCAGAGAAAAGUGUCGGUGUAGUGAUAAUAGGGCAAAGCUAUUGACUUAAAUAAUGGGGGGAAGAUAAAGGGGUUAGAGUUUCAAUUUUUGCCAGAUCGGAUAACUUGAUCACAUUGACAAUUGCAUAUACCUAAAAGUGCAAAAAUUAGUUCAAACACAUGUAAUGACUAUGAAAGUUCAGGUAAUGGUUACAAUGGACAAAGUCAAUAUCAACCAUGAGCUUUUCCUGACAAUGGGGUGGUUUAAAAUUUUUUUUCUUUUCAUAAGUCUGUUUUAAACCUAUUUCUUUAUUUGGGGUACUCCAUGUCUCGUCAUUCUCAUAUUGCCAUAUCAGCAUUUUUUUAUUUCUUUCUAAUUAGGGAUGAUAUUCGUUCCUGUUGAUUAUGAAUUUGUCUUUCUGUACAAAUAAUUUUUCAUAAAACGGAAAUUCAUCAUAUUAUUUUACAAGAUGGUAAAACAGAAAGAAAUGAAAAACAUUCAUAUUCUCCGGUUAAAAGGGAAAAGAAAAAAAACACUAAUAUGGCAAAGUUAGAUUGAUGGGGCUUAAAAUACUCCACAUGUAAGGAAAUAAGUUUAAAACCAACCCUAUUAGGAAAUAAAGAAUUUAANNNNNNNNNNNNNNNNNNNNNNNNNNNNNNNNNNNNNNNNNNNNNNNNNNNNNNNNNNNNNNNNNNNNNNNNNNNNNNNNNNNNNNNNNNNNNNNNNNNNNNNNNNNNNNNNNNNNNNNNNNNNNNNNNNNNNNNNNNNNNNNNNNNNNNNNNNNNNNNNNNNNNNNNNNNNNNNNNNNNNNNNNNNNNNNNNNNNNNNNNNNNNNNNNNNNNNNNNNNNNNNNNNNNNNNNNNNNNNNNNNNNNNNNNNNNNNNNNNNNNNNNNNNNNNNNNNNNNNNNNNNNNNNNNNNNNNNNNNNNNNNNNNNNNNNNNNNNNNNNNNNNNNNNNNNNNNNNNNNNNNNNNNNNNNNNNNNNNNNNNNNNNNNNNNNNNNNNNNNNNNNNNNNNNNNNNNNNNNNNNNNNNNNNNNNNNNNNNNNNNNNNNNNNNNNNNNNNNNNNNNNNNNNNNNNNNNNNNNNNNNNNNNNNNNNNNNNNNNNNNNNNNNNNNNNNNNNNNNNNNNNNNNNNNNNNNNNNNNNNNNNNNNNNNNNNNNNNNNNNNNNNNNNNNNNNNNNNNNNNNNNNNNNNNNNNNNNNNNNNNNNNNNNNNNNNNNNNNNNNNNNNNNNNNNNNNNNNNNNNNNNNNNNNNNNNNNNNNNNNNNNNNNNNNNNNNNNNNNNNNNNNNNNNNNNNNNNNNNNNNNNNNNNNNNNNNNNNNNNNNNNNNNNNNNNNNNNNNNNNNNNNNNNNNNNNNNNNNNNNNNNNNNNNNNNNNNNNNNNNNNNNNNNNNNNNNNNNNNNNNNNNNNNNNNNNNNNNNNNNNNNNNNNNNNNNNNNNNNNNNNNNNNNNNNNNNNNNNNNNNNNNNNNNNNNNNNNNNNNNNNNNNNNNNNNNNNNNNNNNNNNNNNNNNNNNNNNNNNNNNNNNNNNNNNNNNNNNNNNNNNNNNNNNNNNNNNNNNNNNNNNNNNNNNNNNNNNNNNNNNNNNNNNNNNNNNNNNNNNNNNNNNNNNNNNNNNNNNNNNUGGUAAAAGAGAUAUUUCUAUUUAUCAUUAUUUAGAAUCAUUUGCAAUAGUGUCACCACUAACUUUUUCAAUGUGACAUUUUAUCCAGGGUUGGAAUGUUUUGAAAAAGCUAGUUUUAUAAAUAUCAUCUUUUUUUAUGAUUUGUAAUUUUUUGAGUUUUUCAUCCAAAAAAAUGGGUUUUUCUAUGACAUUUCAUAAAGAAGUCAUUUGUUUUUCUCUUGAAUUUGUUGUAGAGUUAAUAAUAGAAGAUAUUUCUGAUACAUCAUCUUGAUUAGAUGAAGUAUUCAUCAUAAAAAUAAAUUAUGUUUUAUUAUCAUAAAUAUUUGAAUCAAUUUUUGAAAAUAAUUCAUAAAAAAUUUUAUCUUCAAAUAAAUCUUUGUAAAACAGAUACAUAAAUCUAAUUGUUCAAGAGUUUUUAUAACCUUUUUUGUACCUUUUCUUUUUUAGGACAGUUUGUGCAAUAUGCCAUUCUCUUUACAUAUAAAACAUUUUAUAUAAAGAAGAAAAUAUAAUUUUUAAAAAUUUUAAAAAAUAUAUUAAAAAGUUUAAAAUUGUUACAAAUAAUAAAAAUUUCAAAUUUAAAUUAAUAUUUUAAAAUUAAUAAUUUUAUUUAAAUUUAAAAGAUUGAAAGCUUUUUAAAAAAUUAAAAUCAUAUUUUCAUUUAAAUUCAAAUUUUAAAAAAAAAAAAAAAAGAAAAAGAAAGGGGAAGCAAAUACGGACAGAGGGAGGGGAAGGGAAGGGAGAGGGGAUCAUCGACACUCCGUCAUCGGUUUGGAGCAGAUCUUUUUAUAAAAUUUUUAUAUAUUUUCUAUUUUAUUUUUAAUGUAAACAAUUAUUUUUUCGUUUUUAUAUUCUUGCUUACAUAGUGAUCGAUGAUGUGAUAUUUUUGUCACGUGUUAUAUUUUCAUUGGAUGUAUAUGUCACAUUAGUAAUAUAUAAAUAUUAGAUCGAAGUAUUAAAAAAUUUGAUAAAAUAAAAAUUUGAAUAUUUGAUUACAAAUUUUAAUUUUUUGAAAAUCUAAUUGACAGAAAUUAUGUAGUAAAGGAGCAAAUUUAUAUUUAGCCUAUUACCAUCGGCAAACGUUUGAGUAUGAAAUUGAAUCACAUUUUUUUUUCUUUGUUCAACACUACGAAAUUGAUGUUCUAAUUUUAAAAGCAAAACCGAAGAAGGAACUGUUUUGGCAUCCUUGACCCUGACCAAUGCUUAAUGCCCUUCGCCACAAGGCAACCAAAAACCUUUUUGAUGGCAAAUGGGAUAUGACGAAUGCAAGUAAACGCUCGCCAUCCACGCUUUGAAACUGCCUUUGUUGAAUUCUCUGUUCAUCAGCCAUCAUUCAUUCUUUACAUAACAUUAUUCAGCUAACAGAAACCAUUUAUAACUUUUAAAGAAACAGACAUUCAAAAGAAUAUUUGAUUGGAUGAUUGGUACUUGAUUUUCGAGUAGAAUUAAAAAAAUUUUUUCUGAAUUAGAAAACAGCUUAUGGAUUUUGAUUUAGAAUAUAAAAUAAAAGAUACUGUUUAAGUUAAGACCAAUUUAAAAUUAACCGACAUUCAUUCAAAUCAGCCGCUUUUUCAUGGAUUAAACCAUUUGGUCAUUCAUAUUAGAAGUGCAAGUGAAUCAUGAUUACCAGUAAAUUGUUCAAACACAGAUCCAACAUGACUAGUAGUAGGAGGAGGAAAUAAUGAGGACUUACUCCUUGUUGGCAAGUUCCAUUUUUUUUAUAAAGAAGGAUACAGUUUAAAAUUAAAAAAAAAAAAUUAUAAAUGUUAAAAUUUGAAUUUUAGAUUCGAUGAAUAUCAUUAAGUGAUUAUUUUAAUCAAUUAAACUAAACUCAUGAUUUAAUUCAGAUUACAACUUUGUUAAUAACUCUAAUCAAUCCACAGAGAUAACAAACGCUUGUCUGAAAGUGAAAUGUUGAAUUAGACCUAGUUAAUAAGGGAAACAAAUUUAGCAUCACAUCAAAUAAGUUCAGAAUACAUUAAAUUUUCUAGGUGGGAGGAGGCCAGCACCCAGCAGGAUCAACAAACUGCUCUGAUUUGAUGCCACCACGACACAAAACUUUUAUACAGAAAAGGAAAAAUGAAAUGAAAUUAGAAUAAACAAGGUACGGUGCCCACCAAACAGUUGACUUGUCUUGUAUUAUAUACGAGGGAGUAUCGCAGUUCUACACAAUUGUUGACCCAUUCUUUGUAUCAAUAUAGAAAUUAUUGGGAAAUUAAGCAAAAUAAUAUUCCACCUUUCCUUGUAAGAAUAAAUUACAAACCCAGAGGCCAAAACAUACAAGGAAGUGAGAAAAGUUACAUAGAAAAAGUUUUUUUUUUUUUUUUUUAUUGCCUUGGAGCAAUCAGAAGAUGAGACAAGUUCAGGCCGCAAGUUAAAAUCACUUGUUACAGUAAAGCAUAGGCAAAUAGACAUUCUAUAUGACAAUGAUGCAGUUUUGAAGGCCUGCAAUAAUUUUAUGAUACUAUUCUUGCAUUUGAAAAUUUAAUUUCAAGUUAUGACCAGCAAGGGUUAGUAAAAUUGUUUGCCUUCUUAAAAGAUUAGGAAACAUAAACAAUUCACAACUCGAACAUAAAUUAACAUAUUUUAAUGGAUUUGAUUAUACACCAAUUCAAGAAUGUGUACAUUUAUGUGUAAACUGAGAUAUAGUCGAAUUUAUCAUCUGAUCCUUAAAAAAGGAAAAAAAUUUAAUCUAUCUUUUGUAUGUUACCUAUAGUUUUGAAGGAAAACCAAAAAGAAUAUCCCUCUCUCCAGAAACUCCAUGUUUACAGUUUCUAUCCUAUCACCUUUAACUCUAGACAAGAUUCUAAACAUCAGCACACUUCAUUGGCGCAUAUCCCAGCCUAGACUUCUUUUGUGUCAUACAGGAUAUGGAAAUUCUGCUGCUGAUAGUUUCCAAUGAUUGAAAGGGCAGAUCGUGGAGUCCCCAAAAUGCCAAACAAACAACAUCCUCUUCAAGCCAGAUAAAGUAGUUCUCCACUGGGAAAUUCCAUACAGCUCCAUCAACAAACCGAAUCCCAAAAUCAGGCAGCUCUACAUUUUCAACUCCAGACACAUUGUAACAAGGAUCCAAGACUGGAAAAUCUUUCAAAACUGGAUAUCCUUUUAUUUUCUUCACAAAUGCAUCCUUGAUAAUCUGAUAAGUAGGGUCUGCAAAAUAACUUAGAGUAGUACCUGAAUCGAUGAUUGUACCACCAGCACCAUCAGCUGAUAGCUGCCAUGUGUCCUCUGGUAUAUUCAACACCUCUCCUCCAACAAUAAUUGAUUUUAUCUGGACAUAGUAAAAUGUAUCAACAGAAUUUUCCUUACCAGCAACCAAUGAUGUGAAAUUCAAAUUAGGGUGGCUCAGCAAAUCUUUGUCCUCCCCAAAAAUCAGCUUGCUACUGACAUUGGCAUCACUGUUCCUGUCAACCAAGACAGUAGGAAAAGGAAUGACCAUAUAGUGAUUGCAGCUGAGAGGCAAACGAAAGAGGCCCUCUUCCAAGGCCUAACAACCCUGCAGCACCAUGGAAGAGGCCUCUAUUCCAAUGACCACAACCAAACAUUACAUUCUCCACCUGUCUGAAGUCCGAAUUCCCACUAGGAGAUGUGAGAUUGACAGUAAAUGUCUCGAGUGCAAAAUCACCAGUAGUAUUGGAACUAUCCCCAUACCAAUAAUAAUAAGGACACGUCUGAUUCUCAGCUUUGCAAGGCUGAGGAGGAUCAGGGGAUGAAACCAAAUGGCACCUUGGAUUCCUGGCAACUUAUUAUUCCUAUAGGAACUCGAUUCCUUAGGAUCAUAAUAAGGCCCCAUUUUGCUCGAAACAAUCAUAACAAAGGAACACAUUGAAUCCAAUUAAGGUCACUACCAGUAUCAAGUAUCAAAGAGAAGUGUUUAGGAGGCGUACCAACAAACACAUCAAUAAAAUACUCUCCAGAGCCAAGACUUACACCAGACUCCAAAGUUGCCACAAGCUGGCCAGGAACCCCACUUGUAUAAGAUUCUGGCGCUGCUGCUUUUUCAACCACAGGCUUCAAAUGCUGCUUUUGAUUGCUUCCUGUUAUUGUUUAGCCUUGAAAUGGCAUUUGGUUCUUCUUCUCAAUGGCCCUUGUAUGAAGUGUCUGAAUUCUGGACAAAUCCCUCACUGUUGACUCCAGAACAGAUUGUUUUGGCUCAGCCUUUCCAUCUAUCUCUCUAUGCUUCAAGUGCAGCUUUACUGUCUUCGUUGGUCCUUCAUCUUCAUCUUCAUCAUCAUCAAGAUAAGAAGUUUCUUCUUGGGAAGCUAUCUUUUGCGAUUGUUUUGCUUUCUUUUGCUUUGACAGCUUGCAAUCACUGCCGCUUGUUGCAGAAGAAACUGCAUUGAAACUCAUGUGGCCAGGGAGUUCUAUGCCAGCCAGCGUGUAGACAUUGGAAUUUCCAUUUUUUAUAUGAUCAUCAUGGACUCUAGCAAUUGCUACAAAAGCACCAAAGCAAACUGAAAGAAGAAGAAGAAGAAGAACACUUGGAGAAACUUUCACCAACAUUGCACUGAUCUUCUCUUGUUUGGUCACAGAAAAUCCUACAUGAAACGAAAAACAAGCACCCCAAAAGCCGAAAAAUAUCUCAAACUUUAAGGCCUAGCCGGUGACAGGAAAAUCAGGAAUCUUUUUUCCAAUCCAAUAACAAAGCAGAGUAAAGCACAAAAACCAAGAAUAAUAAAUGAAAAAAGAAAAAAGGCAAGACUCAAGAAAAACCAAAUCCCAGAAAAGAAAAAUGCUUUAAUGGGGCAAUUUUUGGAGAAGAGAAAACAAUUUUUCUGGGGAAAAAAGUGAACGGAGAGGAAAUGGAAAACCGAAGUAAAUAAGAAGGCAAAGAUAAAGGGGAAAGCCUCAGAAGAAAAGUGAUGGCUUGGUCUGCUUAGAAUCAGUGUUAAAGACUUUGAAUCAAAAGAAAAGAAAAGAAAGAAAAAAAAAAGUCCACUUUCCAAAAACGCGGUUUGCAUCCACAAUUACCAACUACUUAAUAUAUAAAAAUAUUUAUGAGAAAGAAAAUUUGAUUUACCUGGUCUUCGUUAUUGCUUUCUUCCUCUCUGUUUCCUGUUUCAUUUGGGUUUUAACUAUUAAAAAAAAAGCUGUUUUGAGUUCACAUUUACAUUUUUCUUACAACGUUUCAAUAAUGCCCAAGUCAAAGCCAAGCUCUUUGCCUUUUAUGUUUCUCUCUCUCACACCUUGAGGUUUUAAGACACGGAAAUUUUAGCCACGAAUGAUGAUACCAUUAAAAAAAUAUUAUGAUAAAAGAUACAAAAAUAUAUAAUUUACAAUUUUAAUAAAAUAUACUUGAUAUAAUUAUUUUUAUAUUUUAUAUACAUUUAAUUAAAUAAACACCACACAAAUACAAAAUUAUUUUUUUAAUUCUUGCUGUUUUUAUUUUUUUAAAAAAUGAAAAACUCAACAUUAUGGCCUUGGUUUAGCAUUACGUUUUGGGUGGAGUAAUUUUUUAAAGUGGGAAGCUUUUACUUCUGACUGAACAAACCGCGGAUGCUAGAAAUAAAAAAUAAAGCAGCUUCAUGUUUACGCACAUCUCCAAAGACCAAGAAAAAAUUUGCCAGAAAGUAGAAAACCUGGGGGUGCUUGACUUGUUUCCGGUCAAUAAUUUAGUUUAUUAAACUAAAAGAAAAUGUUAUUUUUGACAAUUAAGAAUUAAAAAUUAUGAAUUUGAUAAAUAACUAUUAUAUAAAAAUAAAUUAUUUAAUAUAACAUCUUUGGAAUUUAAAAACUAUAUAUAUAUAUAUAUAAACUUACACAGCAAAUUAUUAAAAAUAAAUUUUUUUUUUUAUGAUUCAUUAAUUUCUUUUUGGUUUCAUAAAUAGUUAGAAGAGGAAAUAUCUUUGUGGAUUAGAAAAUUAAUACUUUUUUUGCCUUCAUAAAUAAUUAGAGAUAUCAAUUUUAUUUAUAUGAAAAUUUUGAUUUUUUUCCGAAUAAAAUAGAUUUGGAUAUUAAAUUUUGUUGGAUACGAAAAUAAAAUCGAAUAAUAUAAUAUUUGUCCAAUAACCGUAUCUAAUAUAUUAUAUAUAUUUUUGGUCAAAGUAUAAAUUUGAUAAAUAUUUUUUAUUUAAUAAUAUAAAAUUUUAUUUUGAAUUAAUUAGCCUUUUAGCUCACAUGUUUUUGCACUUUUUUUAUACUUGGUAGAACUAACUCUUUUUACUUUGCAUCUCUUUCUCUCUAUCUUUGAAAAACUUUUUUGAUUUAUGUUUUAUUAAUUAUGUUGCAAUAUUAAACUUGUCACAUUAGAUUUAUUAUAUUUUCAUUUAAAAAAUAUAUUUAUAAAAAAUUAUAGGUAGGUGUAAGAUAAUAAUAAAAAAUUUAAAUAUAUAUAUUUUUAAGAAUUAUGGAUAUGGUUACUCUCUUGCCCAUUGACUCCCCAUGGGAUAAGAACAUAAAUAAAUUUAAAAUAUCUAUGAAUAGAAAAUAAGGAUAUUUAUAAAAAAUGGAUGGGGCUAAGAAAAUGCUUCACCAAUCUCAAACCUGUCCACAUUUACAUAAAAAGUAGAGGAAAAAGUCACGAGACAUUGAUUAAUUUAAAUAUUUCUUUUACUAUUAAUUAAUAAUUUGAAAAAAAUCCUUAAUUUAAUUCCAAAAACAUUUAAUAUUCUAUUAACUAUAGAAUUUUAAUUAAAAUAAUAAAAAAUUGAAAUGUCAUAUACAUUGUUAUCUAUGUACGAUAUCUAUCUCUAUAUAUAUUUAUAUUUAUUGGUAUCAAUAAUUUUUUAUUCUUAAUUAAUUAUUAAUUUGUCUAUUUCUUUUCUCUUUCUCUAUAGAUGCUGAUUUUUAUGCUUUACUACAGAAAUUGCAUGCCAAUUUCAUAGUUUUGAAUAAUCAGGUUGCAAUAAUUGUGUAAAAAUUUGGAAUCAACAGAUUAUUUGGUUUAAAAUAAAAAAUUAUAAUUAGCUCAUUAAUUUCUUUUCAGCUUCAUUAGGUGAAUUAGAUCAUUAAUUCUUUAUUUUUUGUCUUCACAAAAAACCAUAAAACUUUUUAUUGAUUUUCAACCUAUUCAAGUAUUACUAGACAAGCUUUGGCCAAAAAAAAAAAAAAAUUACUAAUCCACUGUCUCACCUGCGUUGCAUGAUGUUACAUGUUAAUUAUUUUGGUAUUUUAAAAAUAAUUUUUGUUUAAUAAAUUAGGUAUUUUUUUAUAACUUCUUUCGUAUUAAUUUCUCUAUUGAAUAAAUUGCAUACAAUUAAUGCAACAAUAAAGUGCACUAAUGUUUUAUUAGAAAAAUAAAAUAACUUAGUUUAAAAUUAGAUUUUAUCUCAAAUAUUUAUAAUUUAUUUAUUGUCACCAUAAUUAAUUUGUAAAACAAAUUUAUCGGACAUAACAAAAAUAUAAUAAGUGUUAUGAUAAUUCAAGGGUAAAUUACAUGUUUAGUCAUUAAAGCUUUUGUGAUUUUUAUUUUGAUUAACCAAUUAUGAAAAAUAAUAAUGUGAUAAAUAAUUUUUUGUAAAUUUAAUUUUAUCUCCCAAAUGUUUCCUUUUAUAAUUGGAUGAGAUGGCGUUAUUUAUGUGAUACUAUUACUUUGACAUUAUAAUUUUUAAUUAUAAUUGAAAUCAGUGAAGACAGUUAAAAAAAAAAGAAAGAGGAUUUAAUUCGCUGCCAAAUGACAAUCAAUUAGAACCUUAAUAGGACUCUUUGUUGAAAAUAAUAAAAUUUUUUUUAAUAUAAUUAUAAAUAUAUAGAGGAGUAAAAUAUAGUGCUUUAUUUCUUCUGCCAUAUGGUAGCAGCCACAUUGAAUUUUGUCAUUUUGAUUACGACAAAAAAUACAUAUAUUUUUCAUUUAUUUGGAGAGAAAAACUUCGAAUUUAACUCUUUGAAUAAAAAAAUAUAUACAAUUGAAUUAAAUAAUCGAGUGCAAGUUUAUGAUUUUCUUUUUUCAUUUUAAUCUUAAUUUUAUUUUUCCUUUGACCAAAGACAAUUGCAAGACACGUCAGCUUAAGGUAGGCAAUAAGGAGGAUUCAAAGUUGGGAACCUUUUAUUAUUAUUAUUAUUUACAAACUUUUUCUUUCUUUCGUUUUUUUAAUCUUCAAUAAGUUAUUUUCAUAUCCUUUUUCACUUAUUUUAUGUUUUAAUACAAAGUUUGAUUAAUUUAUUCAAUACUUAGAUGAAUUUCUAAACAACAUUUUUAUAGUAAGGUGAUCAACUUCAACUACAGUCACUAUAAUUAAUAAACAUUAAACAAGCGAUAAAAUAUACUGGCUAGAAAAAAGUUAUUUCGAAUUUUAAUGUCUCCUUUUUCAAUUUGUAAUUAUAAAAAAUAAGAAAUAAAAAGAAAAAAAUAGUUAAAUAAAGUUUUCUAUUUUUUUUAAAAAAUUGAAUAGUCAUACAAUGGCAGCCGAUUGAGGCUUUAAUUGAGGGCUUAAGGAAAAUAAUGAAAGAAUCAAUCUUUAUUAUAUUGUUAUAGAUUAUCAAUAAUUUCAAUGCCCUGUUAAAUGGAAUGUAUUCAAAUAGCAAGAUGCUUCUGGUCGUAACAAAAGAAAAAUAAGGAAAAGCUUUUACCCAAAAAAAUGUAUGAAAAAGGAAAAAUUAAAAAAAAAAGAAAAAGAAAAACAUUUUGGGCAUCCUUCGACCAAGUUGGUUUAGGCACAUUUCACUAUCAAAUAUCAAGCCAACAGCUUCUUGUUGUAUUAGCUAGGGAUGGCAUUUAUACCCUAUGAGUAGAUCGCUUUUCGACUCAAAUGGGCAUGGACAUGAGGAGCAUUUCAUACUUGAUUAUUUUAAUUAGAUAAUGGAUUUGGAUAUACGGAUGACUAAAUAUAUAAAAGAAUAUUUUUUUUCAUUAGUUAACUAUCCUUAGUACUUUUUAAUGACAACUUGAUUUUUUUUGGUUUUUUUUACUUAAAAAUGAAAUUAAUUUUUUAAUUAAUUAUUUUAUAUUGUUGUAUUGUAAGUUUGUAAUGUAUGAUGUAUGUUUUAUUAUUUUUAUGUGUUUUUUUUAAUUAUAAUAAAAUAUUUGGGAUAUAUUUGAAUUAUUUAUUAUUUUUCGAAUACGAUAAUGAAAAUAAAAAUAUUUUAUUCAAUGGGUAUAGAAAAAAAAUAUAAAAAAUAUAUUCAAGUAUGAAAAUGAAAAAUUUUAUGUUUGAUCAACUCGUUGAUAUUUAUAUCUUAAUCAACAUGUUAUAAUCUUUUAAAUUUAUUUUUAAAAUUUAAAAACUCAUUCAUUGUGUAUAAAAAAAAAUGUUUUAGUCUGUGAGAGAGUUUUAAAAGGUAUAGGGGAGAAGUUUUUGCUAUGAGUCUCCAACACGCAAUCAAGUUAGGUUUGCUUCAACCUCAAGAGCUAGGAUUUAACAAUAUUGAAGCAAACAAGGAGUGAUUGUUUCAAAGGGAGAAGCAAAAGAUUUUGGAGGACGGAAAAUCAAAUUGGGAAUUUCCAAUCACAUAAUUGUCCUCUGAGCGCAACGCUUUUGUCUAGUUUACAAUGUCAACUUAGAAUCCACGCUUGGACUUUUUGAAUGCUAUUGUUCCAUACAUCAUUUUCAACCCUCUGCCACUUCAAAGUUCGCCCUCAUACGUAAGACCAUCAGUUUUCUUCAUAUGUCUUCCCAAUUUACAGUAGAAGCUGCCGAUGUGACCACUUCUAGCCAAUGCAGUGUGAGUUCGUUUAAAACGAAAAUCAAACAUUGGGGCCCCUAGGCGAAAUCAUUCCAUCCUAUUGACUCAUCAACACAUUCCAUCAAAGUGAAGAAUUUAUGAAGGAACUAAGAGUCAGACUAGAAUUAGAAAUUGUUUAUAUUCAAAGUUAAAACAGUUAAUGUUACUUAAAUUUAAAAAAUUUUUAAUUUAAUAUCUAAAUUAUGAAUAUAUUAAUUAAUAUGAUACUUAAAAAAUUAUUUAUCCAUUACGUGUUAUCAUUUAAAAUUCAACUAACCAUGUCAAAGUAAAUACUAUAUUAAUUAACAAAAUUAUAAUUCAAGUAUCACGUUAAAAAAUUAUAAAAUUAAGACAUUAUAUUAAGUAAUUCACUAUAAUUCAAAAAUUAUUUGUAAUAUUAACCAAAAAAAAAAGUCAUUUUGUAAUAGCAGCAUAACCAUGACUUGCGGACAACAAUUUUUAGAUGGAUGACUACCAGGUAAGAACAUACGUAUACAAAUCGUACACAGCAAUUUUUGACAAAUUGAGUACCUAAACCAAAUUAGACGGAAUAAAUUACUAGUAGUCAAUAUCAAGCAAAGAAAAAACAACAAUUUCGUGGCAGCAAAGAGAGAGACAGAAAUAGCUCAACCAGAAAGGGAAGGUAUAUGUAAAUAUGGAAAUCUAGUGAAAGUAGUUCCACCGUAGUUCUAUGAAAAGAUGUUUGAGGAAUAGGCCAAAUGAAAGGACCUUAAAUAUCAUUAUGGUUAGCAAGAAAGAAAUGUUUUACUGGUUCUGUCACUUGAAUGAAACAUUGUCAAAAGGCACAUCAUAACUUGCAUGUUUAGGUAAAUUUCAAUUGGAAGGAACAUAUUCCCAACAAAUGGUUUAAAUUAACUCCGAUUCUUUGAAAAAGAAUCUCAUAGUAGUAUAAGAAUAUGCAUGUCUAUGCUCAUAUGCAUGUCUAUGCACAUAAGGCUCCUUUGGAUGUAUUGAUGUGAUUUGCAUGAAAGCGAAAUAUCAGCAUCACAGUAAUGGCACAAAAUGAUUCAAAGACAAAAGCUAAAUCCUGAAUGGGAAUAUGUGAUAGUACUCACUCUAGGGCCUUAAUAAUGCAUCCUUGCAAAUAAAUUUUGAAUUAGUCAUUGCAAGUUAUAGAAAUACAAGAAUAAGCUUUUGCAAGGUUGGACAGCAUAAAAAAAAACUUCAUCACAAAUGCUACCAUCAUCAAAACCAACUUUCGCUCAUGGUCGAACAAAUUGGUAUCUAAACACCUAGAAAUCAAAAUACAUUCAUUUUGUUUAGAAGUAUCCAUGAGUCGAGUAGCCCAACCAACAUUUGGGCGCCUGGGCGGUCUACCACACUUCUUUUGCAUAGUUGAGAUGGGAUUCAGUGUCUACUUUUAUUAAGUCUUAAUUAUUAAGAAAUCCAGCACUGCCAAUGGACAAAAUCGUAGUAUAACCUUAAAGAGGACAAAAGGCCUUCAUGUCCAAUAUGUUCAAGACAAGACAAACCCCUACCAUCAUGUUUACAUGCUUCAGUUAGAAUAUAGUUUCUCAUAUUAAUUUGGUUUUUUACUUUUGCCUUUUCUUUCUUCCUUCAGCACACUUCUCUCUAUUACCUUCCUUACUAACUAGGAGCUCCUAUACCAGUAAGUUCUGCAUAAAAGUAUAAGCAAGUACAUCUAAUCACUGAGACUUAACUUACCAAAUACUUUAAUUUGACUCACUCGUUGUCGAUCAAACCUCUGGAUCCAGUAGCAAGUCAAGUGGAGUUUGAAUAUUUUAGUACUUAGCUUGGUUGGCAUUUUAAUAUCCGAGCUUAACUGAGUUUUUGAAUUUCAAUACAUUUCUUCAUAUUAUACUUAAUAUAAAUAAAAUUUCAUAUUAUUUACAUCUUUAAACAGAUUUAUCUGACCUAUAUAAAAUUAUUAAACAAUUUACGACUUGGUUUGAGUUUCAAAGUGAAACUCAUUGUUUGAGCUUCAAACUGAAACUCAUUGUUUGAGCUUGAGCUACGUUUGAACUUGUUGCUUGAGUUGAUGAUAAUUAAGCAGAAUCUAAUGAGCCCAAGUAUGAAAAUAAAGCUUGGUAGGGUUUGUGCUGAGCUUUGAUCUUCAAAUUUUAUAGUACAACCAAGCUCAAGCUUUUCAAUUAUUCUGACUUAGCUAGGCUGGUGUUUUUUUUUUUGGCCAAGAGCUAGUCUUGCUUACACCCUUAGUCUCUAACACACAUCUCCUUACUUUUUCUCACCUGCCAUUUGGUUCAUAGCUCAGAUUUCCUAUUCUUGCUCUCUUAAGCCUUUCUACUCUUUAUCUGGUCACCCAAGUAUAACACUACCUCGCCUCCCUAAAAGAUUAUAUCAAAGAAGGACUUUUAACUCGGGCAUAAUCAUCUUAUGGAUGGUCAGGCUAGUAAAGGGGAAGCUCACCUAAGAGAUCUAAUGUUCUGAUAGGUAAUUAAUUAUGACCAGCUCCUGUUCAUCCUCUCCAAAUAAGAAUUACAGCUAUCAGAAGAUGCCUACUGACAUCUAAAUUUCAAUGUACUCGAAAUAGAUAUAAAUCACCUAUAUUCUAUGUAUCAUGAGUUAAAGUAAGCAGCAUGCCAUUGCCGGUCUACCAGUAUCACCACCACUAAUACUUGAAUACCCAGAAUCACUGAAGCAGCUAAAGCAACAGUUGAAGCUAUAAAGAGUUAAUCUAAGCAAAAAUGGAUAAAAAAGAUAAAGACUUUGAGCUCAUUCAGAUGACAGAGCAUAUGUACAACAAAACCUUCUCAAUAACUGAAUUUGCAGCUGUAGUGACAAAUUUUGUGUUCAUACAAAAGCCACAUAUUGAUUAAAAACCUAUAGCCUAAAGAAAUUAAGCAAAAGAGCAAAAUGAUCCCAGAGUAGAUAAAAUGAUUUAAUCUCCGGGUCUAUGGAAAGCAGGGUGGUCAAGGAUUGUGCUAAGGCACAAAGCUACAGCUCAAAUCAACCAAGGCGCCUCAUACUCCUUCAAGUGAGGUGCCUUCAAUACACUUUGAUAUGGGUGUUCCAAUUCAACAGAGACAGACCUCCCUUGAAUUUGAGCCCUUUAUAGAAGUAGAAGAUUGCUUCCUCAUUCAGCUUUGCCUCUAUAAAACUAUAUUUCAUAGAAGUUACAUUUCAUGUUAAAACUGUGUUUCUUAGCAUGUGAUCCAAUACAGUAGAACGUUUAAAUAUAUCUACACAUUUUAGUCAUAGAUUAUGACACUAAAUAAGUCAUUGCAAAUAACCCCCAGUCAUCUGAUGCUGCUGUAUAACCUUACCUGAUUAUAUCUAGUUUGAUGCAGCCUCAACUGGCUUUGCAGACCGAUCUUGUAAGCCACAAACCAUGUUUGUGGGAACAGCUACAUCAAUCAGUUUUGGAUAUGGAAGAUUUAAAUCUGUAAAACAUGUAAAGUUACUAAUCCAACGGUAGCUGUACAACACAAACAAGCAGUAGACAUUAGUAAAAUAAAGGUUUACUUACUUUCCAUGAUUUUCUCAAAUGUUUCCUGCAAAGCAGUUGAAAAUUGAAACUGCUAGAGAUACAGGGAACGAAACUUCACAAAAUUACAUGUAAGUGUAAAUGAAAAAGAUAACCAUAAAUGAUUUUAUCCACAAUUAAAAAUGAAAAGAAAAUUCAGACGCCGAAUACAAAACACAAGAAUCAGCCUAUUCUAUAAAAAAUAAGUGAAAUAAGUAAAUGAGCCAAAUUCUAAAAAUAUUAACAAGGUGCUUUGUCCUAUAGAGAAAGUUUGAUUGUCUAGAGUCCAAUUGGAUAUCAAGUACCAGACAAGACAAAACUCAAAACUUAAGAAAUGCAGGCACACAUAUCCCCAAAGAUUAUAAUUCUUCUUUAAACAAAUCAUAUAUUAUACAUAAAAUUUCUUAAAUAGAAGUAUCCAUAAUGAAUGUCCAUUUUUAUAUUAUGUCAAUAAAAUGACUUAAUCUCAUCAAAGAAGAAAAAAGUUACAACAUUAUUUUUAUCAGAAGGAUGAUUUUGUGAGGGCAUUGAGAAACGUUGGACAGUUCCAGGAAAGGAAAAUAUCAACUUUGAUUGACCCUUUUGACCCUUGAAACACUUGUCUAUUGAAAUGUCCAUCACAUAGAUUAUUGGUAAAUUUGAAACCCCAAGAGAAAGCUUAAAGUAGAAAGGGUCAUGACAUAUAGGGUCGAAUGAAUCACCUCAUCCUUUGUGAGUCUUGGAUUAUAGAACUUCUCCUCUCUUACAGUACUAACCUGGAUCCCACAAAAUUAGUCAUAAGUAGCUAUGUCAAGAAAGAAUAUGAACUAACAAAAAGAACUAACAAUGCCUCAUACCAUGAACCCUUUGUAAUCAUGAGCAGGAUAGACUAAUGUAUCCUCUGGCAAUGUAAAAAUCUGGACGAAAGAAAAAGAGUAAGAGUCAGCAUCCAAACUAUUUAUUUUGCAUUAAAAGCAUGAUGCUCAGCUCUUUAAUUUUACAUUCUUGCCUGUUAAUGCACUGACUUGUAUAGUUGACGUGAACUCCAUUCAGCAAGUACAUUAAUGAGAUCAAGCAAAGAUAACAGGUAAAAUGUUGAAUUAAUCUCUUAACCAGCAAAUGGCAAUCACUCUGAAAAAAAAUCUUUUCAUGGCCCUUUUCUCAUAAAAAAUAUACUUGACAAAGAAAUAAAUAAAAUAAUAUUAAUAGACUGGAAAAAAAUUAGGAUGCUAAACCUAGAAAUCAUUUCUCCCACAUCCAUGUAUCAACAAGGCAUCUGCAGUGAAAGCCAUCCUUGGUUGUGGUUGAUCAGGACCAUCUCCUGUAACAUAAGUAACACAACCUAUUGUAUGGCCAGGAGCUGCUCGGACCUGCCAAAAAAAUGGCAAAUACAUAUGAGCAGUUUGAAGAGUGGUGUCAAUACAUGAGGAACCUGUUUUAUCCAUUACUCAUUUCCUGUUCUACUAGACAUAUUGCAAAAGCAACUACUGCAUCUGAAAAUGCCGCGGCCUUGGCGCUUUCUAUAUAUUAUCCUUUUAAUGUUCUACAAACUCAGUUCAUCCUUGUUCUUCCCAAUCCUAUUCAUUUAAUAAACCUAAACUGCUACUGUUUAACUUUAAUAAAAUUGUUGCUAGCAGCUCACAGCAUUAAUUGCAAUUUCAGCAAAAUAAUGAAAUGCUUGAACACCGAAGCAUUUGGCUACUUAAUAGGUCCAUAUAUCCCCUCUUCAAAGAGUUGGGUUUGAAUCUCCUUCCCCAAAUAAAAAGAAAGUUUAAUUUUAAAGAAAUAAUGUUAUAAUAUCAAAAAAUAGUUUUCAGAAUGAGAAAUUCACUGAUAAUAUUUGUGAUCCAUUUGCCUAAGAUCAUAGCAACAGAUUUAAUUAAAGUCUAUACAGUGGCAUACCUCCAGAAACAGAUCACCAAAGUAGAUUUUAUCACCAGCCUCAACCAACAUAUCAGCUUUGGAAAUGCUUGCUUUUGAAAUGACAGAUUUCACAACCGGAACCUUAGUCUGAAACACUUAACAUCAAUUGAAACAAGUAGACAACAAAUUAGAAAAAGAAAAUGGCAUUUGAAAGAUAAAGGACAAAUUCAUCAACUUUUAUUUCAUAAAAGAAAUGAUUUCCAAACCUUAAUGAGGCCCCGUUCCUGUUACAUGGUGAGCAUGAACAUGGGUGUUCAUGGCAUAAUUUAGUUUCAAUCCUAGCUCUUUAACAAGAGAUAGGUCCCUCUCCACUGUCUUGUCAACAGGAUCGAUCAACUGCCAAAAUUUUGGGUAACUCAUGCAUGACAUAAAAACUUAAGUGUAGGUAGAGGAUUCCUUCUCGAAUAGCUGGCGAAACAAAAGCCUCCUGCAUGUCCUGGAUGAAUCACAGGACGUAGUGUAAGUGUAAAUCCCUGAUGCACUGCUGAAUUCAUGGGUUUGGAAUUUGAGCCCAGAUUUUUGGAAGGAGAGAGUGGUUUAUGUUUUCUCGAGCUCUCUCUCUUUGUUAAAGCGCAAAAAACCAACGCUUAAUGUGACCCAAUUACUACAUCAAGAUGUGGGGACCUCUUCAGAAAGGCGGAACGAGCGCUUCUCGGACUGCGUUUUGCAGACACCAGCAAAUGGUAUAGAAGGAGCCCACCCUCAACUAGUAUUUCAUUUUUGUGCAACUCAAAAUGGUUAAGGUGCAAUCCAAAGCGUGAUUUGAUAGGGUCCGUAGAGGGAUAUUUCAUCUAGUUUGAGUUGGCCUUUGGACUAAUCUAUUUGGAUUUAACCUUAUCAUUUAAACUUUAGGCUCAUAUUAUAUUUUGGAAUGUAAGCCCAUUUAUUUUAUUAUUUUACUUAUUUAUUUUUGUUUUUAUCAUUAUUUUAAAACUAAAUAAAAAGAUAAAAUAAGUGAUAAGAUUUAAUGGAUUAAAAUUUUGAAAUUCAAUUGCUCAUUGAAAUUAAAAUUCAUAUUAAAAGUAAAGAUGUUUAAUUUUUGAACUGAAAUCUUGUCUUCAUCAUUUUUAUUUAAACUAUUGUAUGGACCACCAAAAGAAGGCAUAGAGUAAUUAUGCAAAAAAAAUCAAAGGAAUUAGAUAGAAAACUCAGAGUGAAAAAAACAUAAACAACAACAAUUACACAGAAAGAAGGCCAAAAAGGAAUCAUUCACCACUAGCCUUCUCCUCCAUCCAAGCCACCACCUCACCUACCAGUCUUUACCACCUUCAUCAUCCAAACCCUGAUCCUACCAAAUAGUGGCACAAGUGCAACCACUAGACCACCAUUGACUUCCACCAAAGCCAAUUCUAUCACCGCCCUCAAUAGCCCGACCUUGCUCUUUUCACCCACUUCCAAAGAAUUCACCUUCAUCCUAGCCUCAAUCAUCCAAGCCAUAACCUCUAAUGAACUCAAUCACCCCAUACUCUAUUUACACAGCUACAAAAAUUAUUAUCUUCACCAAAAUUAUGAAAUUUGGCCAACAAAAAUUCAUAGCCUAUUGCCAUAUCAAUUGACCCAAUACCAUCAUUCAAUCUCUCCCAAUUCCUAAAGCCACUAGGGAUACUUUUUUCAUUUGAUCUUCUCUAAAGCUCGUGUCUAACAAAGAGACCAAGAAAGAAACACACAGAAAACGCAGAGAGGAAUUAAUCUUCAGCCACAAAACCAAAAGCCAUAAUCUUACGAUCAAUUUCUAGAAAAUGCAAUCAUAUACAACCUAAUCAUUGUCCUAAACUAAACCAAUUUUCAGAAAAGCCACAGAAAAAUCUUCUUAUAUAGAAAUACAAAGACAAAGAAUCAAAUAGAGGGCAAUUAAGUGACACCUAAUUUCUACCAUUAAAUUUCCAACAAACAAUCCACAAUCAAACACAAUCCACCAUAAACCCAGCAACAGUCAAUAAUAAAGAAAAAGUUUAGCACAAGAAAAUUAAAAAAAAAAAAACAUCUCCCUUAGGUUACGGAUCCAUGGUGUUUUAAAGAGCUUUAAAUCUUCAAGUUUGGUGAAAAGAAAGACUUAAUAGAAAGGAAAAGCAUACCCAAAUUUGGUGGCCAUUGGGGCAGCAAAGAAGGGGACAAAAUAGUAACUUCAAGCUUAGAUUGACAAAAACCCAGCAAACUUUUAAAAAAAUUGAUUGUACCAUGUGGAAGAAGAGAACGAGAAGAGUCAUGGGAAAAUUAAGCAAUUCCAACACCGAUGAUCAGUGAUAUAAGGUGGUGAUGAUGAUGAAGCAUCGUUUGAUUCUAGGUAUUUGAAGAACAAUGGUUGAUUUUCUUCUAAUUUUAGAGAGAAGCUGAAGAAUCUAAAUGUGCAGAGAAAGAGUGAGAAAGAAUAAAUGAAAAUGAAAAAAAAAAUUUAGCUUUUAAACUAAGCCAAAACAUAACGUUUCACUAGCUAGGGAAGAUUCGUGUUUUUUUGUUAACUCUACCUAUGUUCAAUCGCCACUUGAAUUGCUAGCCCCUGCCUUCAAAUCAAGUCUAAGUCGAUUGCAAGCCAUUUUUUUAAGCCAUUCUUAGAAGAAAGCUUAGCUUUAGUUAAAGCUUAGCCAAGUCGUGAUUGUUUUGUUAUUUUUUUUUUUGUUAUUUUACUUAUUAUUCAUUUUUUUGAGUGAUUUUUUUAGAAAAAAAUAAAUAAAAAUAUUUCCAAGAAUGAUGAAAUUUUUGAAAUAUCAAAUUUCUUAAAGUAAAAUAAUUUUAUUUAAAAAAAUUAUUUUAAGAAAAAGUUGAAAAUAUCAAAUUUCUUUAAAAAAUAAAAUAAUUUCAAAAAAUAUAUUUCAAAAUAAACAUUUUAAGGAAAAGUUGAAAGUAUCAAUUUUUUAAAAAUAAAAAGUAACAAAAAAUAAGGUUUAAGGAAAAGUUGAAAGUAUUAAUUUUUCUUAAAUAAAAAAUCUUCCUAAUUUCAAAAAAAUAUAUUUGGGAAAAAAGUUGAAGUAUCAAAUUUUCGUUGAAAAUUUUUUAAAUGUUAAAUAAUCUAACAACGGAGGCCCUAUAAAAAAAAUAAUAGUUUUCUUAUAUACUCUUGAGGUGAGAAGUUUUUUUUUUUAAUUUUUUAUUGAAAGUAUUGGAGUCAAUUAAGAAUAAUUUUCACUAAUUAAUUAUUUGAUAAAUUUUUAAGGCUUAAUGGAUAACAUAAAAUCAAGCUGUUACCAUCAUUUGAUGGCUGUUAUGAGGGUGCUAUAACCUUUUUUACACGUAAUCAUACUCCUAGACUUUGUUCUAGUUUUGUAAACAUUAAAUCUAUUUUUUAAAGAUAUCUAAGUCAAGUAUAGCUUUCUCUUUAAAUUGGGAUAGAUUGAGUUAGGUAGCCAAUCACACCUAAACAAUAAAGAUUGGUAACCACUCCUUAAGUCAAUAUUUAGCGAUGGGUGUACAGAUUAAUACGUUAUGAUAGUUUGGCAACUUCACUAGUGAAAAGCUAAGAGUUAGGCUAGCAAAUCAAUUAGUGUUAUCCAAAAGCCUAAUAAAAUUGAUUUUUUUUUAAAUUUUUAUUUAUUUAUUUGUCUUACUUUUUUAUUUUGCUUAUUAUGUCAUUCAUAUGCAUUUGCAUAAUAUGAGUUAUAUACCUGAGCUCUGUUUCACUAAAAAAGAGUAAAAUACCUACACUUUUAUGAGAUUUUAAUGCUCCACAGUGGCCAGCGAAAUAGUCUCACUCAAAUUGAAUCAUUUUUGUUUGUAACCUAUAAUGGGUAAGGAUUAGGGUACCUCAUUAGUCUGUAAUGAAGAAGGAUGUGAGGAAUAAUUUGGGAGCCUUUAGAUAAUCAACCUUAAACCACAUAUAGUGACUAUAAAUAGAGAGUCAUUCACUCUCAUUAUACAAACACCAGAACCAGAGUAAUAAAAUCCUUACUUUUGCCUUAAUCAUUUCUGUUGUUUUUUUGUUAACCUUUCUUUUGUGUUUUCUAAGCUUGUGUAUUUUGCCUUUCUUAUUGGUGUAGUGCCCGCACGCUUGUGUAGUAGGCUAAGCUAAACUUAAGCAUAUGGAGUUAAUUUUUAGCCUAAGGCCGCACGAAUUCAGACGUAAGAUUAGAGCUUAUGACAUGCCUUGAAUAACCUUUUUACAAAAAAUUGAAUAGGGUUAUUCAAUGCAUUUCUGGCCAAAAUUACCUUGAAUAAUCUACUUUCAUUUUUUUUAGGAUUAUUCAAGGUGUUUCUAGCCAAAAACAUCUUAACUAAACUUCUUUCUAUUGUUUUUUGGAAUUAUUCAAGGCUUUUUUGGCUAGAAAAAAUAUCUUGAAUAAUCCCUUACAAAAAAUUGAAUAGUUCAAGGCGUUUCUGACCAAAACACCAUAAAUAAUUUCUUUUCAUUUUUUUUUAGAUUAUUCAAGGUAAAUUGUACAAAAAAUGCAUUCAAUAAUCUCUUUUUAUCUUUUUUAGAUUAUUCAAAGGUUUUUCUGGCCCUUACAAAAAAUUGAAUGGGUUUAUUUAAGGCAUUUAUGACAAAAAAAACACCUUCAAUAAUCUUUUUCCAUUUUUUUUGGGAUUGCUAAGGCGUUUCUAGCAAAAAAUGACUUCAAUAAUCUCUUUCAAUUUUUUUUUUGGAUUAUUUAAGGUGUCUUUGGUUAUUCAAGGUUUUCUAGCCAAAAACACAUUGAAUAAUUCUUUUCCAUUUUUAGGGGAUUAUUCAAGGUGUUUUUGGUAAAAAAAUGCCUUGAAUAAUUCCUUAUAAAAAAUUAAAUGGGGUUAUUCAAGGCGGUUUCUACAAAAAAUGCCUUCAAUAAUCCUUUCUCAUUUUUUGGAUUAUUCAAGGUGUUUUUUUACCAGAAAACACCUUGAAUAAUCCCUUACAAAAAAUUAAAUGGGGUUAUUCAAUGCGUUUUUGGUCAAAAAUACCUUGAACAAUCCCUUUCAAUUUUUUUAGAGUAUUUUUGGCUAGAAAUGCUUUGAAUAAUUCUUUACAAAAAAUUAAAUAGGGUUAUUCAAGGUAUUUCUAGCAAAAAAGGCCUUAAAUAAUUCCCUUCAAUUAAAAGUUAAAGUAUAUAACGGCAUUUAGGUCAACAAAUGCCACAAAAAUAUUUUUUUAGUGGUGUUUUUGAAUCCAACUGCUGCUAUGUAAGAAUUUAAUGGCAUUUUAUAAAUAAACACUGUUAACCUUAUAAAAACACGAAACUUUGUGACAUUUAUUUAAAAACACCUCUAAAAAACAACCACUAGAUCUCCAUUUUGGUUUAGUGUUCAAAUAAUGAAUCUUUGAAUUUCAAAAUUUUGUAAUUGUUGUGAAAUCAGACUCGGACAUUUUAAGUGUCUACAUCUUUGCACAAUUUUUGUUUCAUAAAAACUAUGCAAAUAGGGGCAACUAUAGAUAUAUUAUUUCAUUUCGGGUUAUCCUUAAAUCUCGAGUUAGUUUAAAUUGGGCUUUGAACCUAACCUAUUUAGAUUUGGCUUUAUCAUUUGAAUAUUAAACUCAUAUUAUAUUUUGGACUUAAUGCAAACCCAUUUGUUUUAUUGUUUUACUUAUUUAUCUUUUCUUUUAUCAUUAUUCUAAAAAAAAAAAUGAUAAAAAAAAAUAUAAAACAAAUGAUAAGAUUUGGUGGAUUAAAAUUUUAAACUUCAAUUGCUCAUUGAAAGUAAAAUUCAUGAUAAAAGGGAUAUGAUGCUCAGUUUCUAAACUGAAAUCCUAUCUUCAUCAUCUUUAUUUAAAUUAUUGUGCAAACCACCAAAAGAAGUUAGAGAGCAAUUACAUAAAAAAAAUAAAAAGAAUUAGAUAAAAAACUCAGAAUGAAAAACAGAAGCAAUAAUAAUUACACAGAAAGGGGACCAAAAGAGAGGCAUUCACCAUUAGCCUUCUUUUCCAUCCAAGCCACUACCUCACCUACCAUUCCCUAUCAUAUUCGUCAUCCAUACCGUGAUCUUACCAAACAAUGGAACAAGUGCAACCACCAGACCACCAUCGACUUCCACCAAAGCCAAUUCUGCCAUCACCCUUAAUAGCUCGACCUUUGCUUUUUUCACCCACCUCCAAAGAAUUCACCUUCAUCCCAACCUUAAUCAUCCAAGCCAUAACCUCUAAUGAACUCAAUCACCUCAUACUCUAUUUACACAACCACUGCCAUUAUUGUUUUCACUAAAAUUUUUGAAAUUUGGCCAAUAGAAAUUCAUAGCUUAUUGCCAUAUCAAUUGACCCAAUAGCAUUAUUCAAUCUCUCUUUAUUCUUAAAGCCACUAGGGAUACUCUUUUCAUUUGAUCCUCUCCGAAACUUACAUAUAAUAGAAAGAUCAAUAGAGAAACAUAGAAAAUAGAGAAAGAAAUUAAUCUUCAGCCACAAAACCAAAAGCCAUAAUCUUGCAAUCAAUUUCUAGAAAAUUCAAUCACACACAACUAAAUCACAAUCCCUAACUAAACCAAUUUUCAAAAAAGCCAUAGAAAAAUUGUUCUACACAUAAAUAUACAGAUAAAGAAUCAAACAGUGGGCAAUUGAGUGACACCUAAUUUCUAACAUCAAAUUUCCAACAAACAAUCCACAAUAAACCCAACAACAAUCAACAACAAAGAAAAAGUUUAGCAUAAGAAAAAAAAGAGGAAGAGAACUUCUCUCAUUUAGAUUUCAAAUCCAUGGUGUUUUAGAGAGCUUUAAUCUUCAAGUUUAGUAAAAAGGAAGACUCAACAAAAAGGAAAAGCAUACCCAAAUUUGGUGGCCAUCAGAGCAGCGGAGAAGAGGGAUAAAGCAGUAACUUCAAGCUUAUAUUGAUAAAAACUAGCAAACUUUUAAAGAAAUCAAUUAUACCAUGUGGAAGAGAGGCAUAAAAAGAGUUCGUGAAAAAAUUUUGAAGUAAUUUUAACGUCAAUGAUUGGUAACAUAUGACGACGGUAGCGGUAGAGCAUCUUCAGAUUUUGGGUAUUUAAAAAACAAUGACUGAUUUUCUUCUGAUUUUAGAGAAAAGUUGGAGAAUCUAAAUGUGUAGAGAGAGAUUGGGAAGGAAUAAAUGAAAAUGAAAAGAAAAUUUUUUAGCUUUUAAACUAAGCCAAAACGUAGUGUUUCACUACCCAGGAAAAAUUCACAUUUUUUUUUAAUUCCGCCCUUCUUCAAUCACCACUUGAGCCGUUAGCUUCUGCCUUUAAGUCGAGCCUGAGCCAGUUGCGGGCCAUUCUUCAAACCAUUCUUAGAGAAAAGUCGAGCCGCAGUUAAAGCUUAGCCAAGUCGUGAUUAUUUUGGUUUUUUUUUUCUUUCUUUUUUUUUUGUUAUUUUACUUAUUAUUUAUUUUAUUUUUGAGUGAAUUUUUUUAGAAAAAAAAUAAAUAAAUAUAUUUUCAAGAAUGAUGAAAAUUUUGAAAUAUCAAUUUUCUUAAAAUAAAAAAAUUAUUUUAAGAAAAGGUUAAAAGUAUCAAUUUUUCUUAAAAAAUAAAAAAAUUCAAAAAAUAUAUUUUAAAAUAAACGUUUUAAAGAAAAGUUAAAAGUAUUAGUUUUUUUUAAAUAAAAAAAAAGUUUAAAGAAAAGUUGUAAGUAUCAAUUUUUUUUAAGUAAAAAUCUUUUCAAUUUUAAAAAAUGUACUUGGUGAAAAAGUUAAAAAGAAAAAAUUAAAAAUAUCAAUUUUUUAAAAAUAAAAGCAUUAAUUUUUUUAAAAAAUAAAAUAGGAAAAGAAAUCUUAAGAAAAAGUUAGGUUAUUAAUUUUUAAAAAAUUUUUUAAAUAUUAAAUAAUCUGUCAACGAAGCUCUUAUAAGUAAAAUAUAAAUUUUUUUGUAUACUUUUAAGGUAAAAAAAUUCUUUUAAUCUUUUACUGAAAGUAUUAAAGUCAUUUAAAAAUAAUUUUUAAUAAUUAAUUUUUUGAUAAAUUUUUAAAACUUAAUGUAUAAUACGAAAUUAAGUUGAUAUUAUCUUUUGAUAAAUAUUAUGAGAGUACUAUGACUUUUUUCAUAUAUAAUCAUACUCUUAAAUUUAAUUUUAAUUUCAUAAAUAUUAAAUUUAUAUUUUAAAAAUACUUAAUUCAAGCUUAAAAUUUUCUUUUAAAAUAAGACAUAUACCAUUAGAUAACUAAUCGUACCUGACGACUACUUAAAUCUAGAUAUAUUUAGCGAUGGGUCCACAUCCACGGUAAAGACAUGUUAAGUUCCUUUUGAAUGAAGAAGAGAGGGAGGGACUCGCAGCUUUCCGCAAAACCUUCCCACCCUUCUAAACCCAACUCCCAAACCCAGGCACUCUAUCUCACACUUUUAUUGCCCAAAGUCAAUGCAUUUUUUUCUACAUAUAUGCAUAAUCUGAAUUGUUUUGGUUUUGAUUUCGCAGAUAAAGAUGGAUGCAGCAUCUGAGCGUUACAGUUACAACCCCAUAUUGCGAUGGAAUCCUCGGGUGGAAGAUUACUUCAUCAAAGCCUACGGGUCUCUUCAUUUUGCUCAAAUCUCCAAAGCCUUAACGUAUGCUUCUUUCUGACCAACCAAACUCUCUAAUCUUACCACCUCAUUUUCUACCUUCAUUUUUCUUUUUCUUUUUGUGUUUAUAGUUACGUGCUCAUUUCUAAUCAAAUAUUGAUUUUGCCUUUUGCAUUUUGCCUUUUGCUAUUUGCUAUUAGCUAUUAGCUAUUAGCUUUUGUUUUUGUUUUCCUUUUAACGGAUUUUCAAGGGCAAUGAGCAAAUAAAAACAGAGUCCAUUACUUUUUCAUGCGGUCUUCACUCAUUCAUGUUCUGCCAUUGUUGAUUUUUGAUUAGGCGUCCAUCUUGCUAUUCUUGUAUUCGAAUGAACACUCUCAAAUCCACAAGUGAUGCUGUCGUUGAGAAACUCAAGGUCUGAAAAUGAUGUCGAAGACAUCAAUUUGAAAAAGACUAAAGCAAAUAAUAGUAUUGACUCGGACAUGGCUGACAAGCAGUCGAGCUUACAAAAUGAACCCCUCUCUAAGUGUCAGAUAGCAGGGUUAGAAACUUAGAAUAUGAUGUAUUUGUUAAGGGUUCUGGACCACAUGCAAUUGGUUAUGGUUAUGCACCUGACAAACCUCUGAAGGAGGUACUUGUUAGUAGGAAAUGUGCUGAAGCAGUUCUUCGAGGUGCUCAGGUACAGCGUGUUUCUUCUAAUGUGUAAUAUAAGAGAAGUUAAAUUUUUUAUUGAAUUUUAUCUGUCACUUAAAUUUGGAACUAAUGGUUUUCUUUGUAUCAUGCAUGAAGGCCCUGCAAUUGCUUCUUUAUAUAUUAGUCAAAUUUGAGGUUUAUCUUCUCUGUGAAAGUUAUCAACAAUUUUUUCCUAACGAUUCCAGGGGGCCUUGUAAAAGAUUGUGUUGUUAGUGCUCAUUUAUUGACUUGAAGCUCAUCCCUUUUUUUUUUUUUCCUUUUCUCAUGUUGGUUUAUCUAUAGGUAUAUGUUCCUGGUGCCUGCAGGUCUCAUGGUGAGGAAGGAGAUUUAGUUGCAGUUUCAGUUGCUGUGGAGCAGCCUGUGCCUGAUGGUGGAUGGGAACUUGGUAUAACACGUGGAACUGUUCUGCAGGGACUGCAGACAGGUAAACGGUAUAGUUUUUGCUUAUUCUUAAGUCAUCAUUCUUUAAUGUUAAUGCUUUACCAUUUUGAUCCUUUGAUCUUUAGUGAUUGGAUGGUACAUAGAUUUAGGAUUCACUUUAACAAAUAAGAAUAUUAGUGAGUCAUUUUCUGAUUUAAGCUUUUUCAUGAAAAUUUGUAGCCUUUCUUAUUAGAAGGAUCAACUAAGUGUGUAGUAGAAUGGGAUGUGUAUAAAUCUCAAGUGAACUUGUUACAUAUUCAGUUAAAACUACUCUGUUUUCUAUGUGACUCAAAAGAGGGUCAAGAUGUUGAUGCUAUAAAUUUCAGGUGUUGAAAAGAAGGAGAUUUAGGACUUUUAGGACUGGACGCCAGGAAUAAUUAUGGUACCAAGUGACGAGGAAUUAUGUAUCUAUAUUGAUUCCAAUCCAUUUGUCAGGACUAGAGUGUAAUAUAGCCUAAACUGAAGAUUACAAAAAGGAGGUUAGGGUAGAAGAAGAGAAAGCAAGGUAAAAUAAAUAGCUAAGCUCAAUUGGCACCAGCUGUUGACUGGGGCUUCUCAUAUUUUAUAAAUGAGAAAUUGAAGCCAGAAUGCAAUUUACUUUUAUGGUUUUGACAAUUAUAUUUAACUUAUAGAUGAAUUAGUCUAAUUAAACAUGUCUGUUACCUUAUAUAAUAUUUAUUGUAUUUAAGGUUUGUAUUUGACUGGUUAUAUCUUCUAUUAAUGCAAAAUUGCUAUAAUUUCUUGAAUUGAUAUGAUAUGGUACACUGUAGAUCCUUAUUACUUUGAACUAAAUGGAUUAUACAUUGGUCAAGGAACAACAAUGUUGUCAAGAGCUGGGAUCUUUUGUGCUUCUCAAGGAAUUGCUGUUGAUAUGAAUAAUCAAGUAUUUAAGUUGCCUUUGUUUGAUGGUACGGUUCAUCCUUUAUCCAAAUGUGUAGAAAUGCUGCAAUGGACAUGGAAUUAUACUUUUUUAAUUUCUGGAUGAUGUUUCUGAAAGUUUGAAUUGCUCUUAGUAAUUUUCUUUUGUUUUUUACAGAUGUGCUUGAGGGGGAAAUAUUUCUUCGAAACCUGCCAAGCAUUGUCACUACUCAUGCUCUUGGUAUCAUCCCCAAAUAUUUGUUUUUUAUGCUAAUUACACAAGUACUGUUUCUUAUUUAGGAUCCUUUAUUUUUAAACCAUGGGAUGCUAUGUAUCUACAUGCUUGUUUCUUUCUUCAUUUUUCUCAAUUCUUUCAAGCUUUGAAAUCUCUUCAGUGGAGAACUAUUAUGAAGCACUUUGUACAUGUUCUGGAAAUUGGAAAUUAGGCACUGUAGAACAUUAUGGUGGAUUUUAUUAAGACACAAAUAGGCAGUUCAAUUUUCUAGUGGUCUACUUUUUGAUUUAGCUUGAAUAUUAGAGGGUAGAACAAAGUCAGGAAUGACGUCCAUCUGGUUGUGAUUGGGUGUAGAAAUUUAUCUACCCAACUGGUUAUUCUUACGGAAUUCAGAAUAGGAGGGUGUAGUUAAUGCUCAAUUCGCUGUUUGUUUCGAAGCUUAAUGAGGUGUGUUAUGUUGUACCAUCCUUUUUGUUCUUUGGUGAUUGAUUCUUUGGCCAUUGUUGAUUGUGCUUUUUCUAACCGACAAUUAUUUGGUGAUGCUGACUUAGAGAUUGGUUAAGAACUAGGGAGGAGGAAUUGGUUCAGAGGUUUGAUUCCUCAUCUCCACUUGAUACUAUUAGGUUUUUCAUAGCCACGUUUGUUGUAGGCUCCAAAGACACCUGAGUUGAGUUUGUGAAAUGAAGCCAAGGCCUUAGACCGUUGAACAAAUUAUAGUGUUCGAAUGGUCUUUCAGUGUUGUUAGUAUUUUUCCUGUGCAGAGAGCAAUUUGCUGUGAAAGAAUCAAGAAAAGAAUGGUCAGAGCACUCUUUUUGUGAAGUAGAUUGGUGGUUAACUCAACUAAUUGGAUCAGUUUUUGUUUGCUGUGAAGAAAUUUGUUGGAUGAAUUAUUUUUCACGAAGAAAACUAAAGAUCCCAGAAAUAUGCGUCUAUUUUACUUUCGUGAAUUUCAUAGCACUCAAGCAGGAGGAAGAAGUUAUUGAACAUAGGCAUAAUUGAAGCAGAUUUGCCUACUAACCGCCAGCAUGUUUUUCUGCUUCCCCUCCGGGAAGAGAUGUAAAUUUCUCCUACAAAUCUUAUCAUUGUUAGUCGUGCUUAAAGCUUUGUUUUUUGAGAACAGCCUCUACUUGUCUCCAAAUUAUUAAGUUACAAGCUCGAUCAAUUUCAAUUAGAUAUGAUAAUUUAUGUAUUUAUUAUUUACUUUUAUAUCAAAUAUAAAUAAAUAUAAAAAUUAUUAUUCAUAAUUUAGUGCUCAAAAUGUCAAAAACCACCGGUGAAACUAUGAAUAUAUAUGUUUAAAUUAUAAUAUAUAUUUUGCCUAAUUUAUAUAUUAUUUUUAUUAAAUUUUAAAUCAUAUAUUUUUUUAUUUUUUUAUAUCAUUUGUGUUUAUUCAUAUUUAAUGAUUGACGGGCUAUUAACUUAACCACAUUGCCAUAAUACUGCAAGUCUAAAAAUCUUCUUCUGGAUUGGAAUUGCUUUGCACUGGCUUGUUCAGAUAAAAAGAAAUCAUUCGGUUUACACUGUUCUGAGCUUGGCGAAAAGUUUGAUUAUUAGAGUAACCAAAGAUUAAAUUGAUUAGUUGUGUCAAAUUUAAAAAAAAAACAAAAAACAAAACAGAUGGUCAAAUACGACUCUACCUGGCCAGCCUGGCACCACAUGAAUGCAAAAACUGAAAAACACGUUAUUCGCCGAAAAAGAAAAAUAAAAUCCCACAUCAUGGGGCCCCAACAGUUGUACAUCUUCCACUCGUGACCGUUGUUUGAUAUUUUUGUUAUUUUUUUUAAGUUACUAUAAAAUGUAAAAUUAUAAUGGAUUGAAAGAAACACGUCACAUAAUUAUUAAUUUAAAAAUAAAACGCAUCUUUUUAUUUAUUUAUAUUAAUUUUUAUUUUUUAAGAGUUUAUUUUUUAUAUAUAGAAAAAAAUUUUAAAUUUUAUAAAUGAAAUAAAAGAUUGAUAAGUGACUUUUUUACUUUUUGUUAUAUCCUUUAGGAUUUAUGCGUCAUGACGGUGGAGUUUAAAUAUAUUAUUACAAUGAGGUGGUUAUCUUCUAACUAUGUUGAAUUUUAAAAUUUCACCGUUAAUAUAUUAAAUAAUUUUUUUAAUAACAAUGCUUAAAAAACGUGAAUAUUAUGAAAAUUUUAAAAUCCUAAAAAGGAAAAUACACUUAAUUGUAAAAAUAUAUUUAAAAUUAAUUUUUAUGAGGUGUUAUUAUAUGUAUAGCAUCUAUACAUUUACAAUAUAUUAUAUAUAACUCUUAAACUAUUAGUUCACCAUAAAUUUAUAAAUAUACCUUUAGAGCAUCACAAAUGAUCACAUCAUUCAUAAGAAAAUAUAAAAUUUUAUAAGUCCUUAAAAAUAAAUAUAUAAUAUUUUUAUAAAUCUUUAAAAAUAAAUACAAAAAAAACUUUAUAUUUUUAAAUUAAUAAUUUAAUAUUAUAUAGUUCAUUGAUAGUAUAUAUAAUUUAUAUAUUAAUAAUAUAUCUAAUAUAAACCAUAUAUAUGAGUAGAGAUCUACUUAUAUUAAUGUAAUUCUUGUAUUUUUUUAAUUAUUAAAUCAAAAUUAAAUUCAUAACUCAUUUAAAUUUAAAUAAUAAUAUUUUUUUAAUAAAUUUGAUCCAAAUAUCUAAAAAAAAUUAAAAAUUACAUUAAAGCAAGUAGUUAAAUGUGCGCAUAACAGAAUUUUGCUAAUCCUGCCAUAAACUACCAUACGUUGUUUCCUCGAAGAAAACGUCACUAUAAAACUGUGAACAAUCGAUGCUACAAUCAAACUCGCCCGUUCCAAUUCUGUCAUCAACGUACCAUCCCAUUGUUUCAUCAACCGCUGGCGAAUUAGGUGCCAUCUCUACCAUGUCAGGCCAAUAAUACUCGAAUCCAUCGACAUCGAGUUCUUCAGUUUGCUCCAAUCUAUCAUGUUUAUCAUCGUCUAAAUCAGCGUUCAAUUCAACUUCUAGAGCACGAACUAUUUGUUUGACCCUAUCUUUUUCCAGCUCCUCCUUCUCCGAC